GCCAGGUCUGGUGGACCUUUGUCUGCUGGGUGGUGGGUAAAUGGAAGUGAGGGAAACAAGGACUCAAGAAGCAGCGCCCAUGGGGGGAGAGAGGGGUGGAGAUGGCGCCAGAGCGAUCUGGGCUGGUCCCUGUGAGUCUCCCGUGUCCUUCCUCGGGAGUGACCUGCAGGCGAUUCAGGUCCUACCUGGCUUGGUUCUGCCACACACUGGCCCUCCAGCAGCCUACCUGCCUGGAGAGGAUGUUUCUGUCGCUCUGAUGAACCCGGCUCAGAGCUGACACCGGGUGAGUGCUUUCCUCAUGAACAGAGUGGACAGAAUUUCACUUCCAGACCUCCCUGUAGACCACCUCCCUCACCCCUUUGCCGCCAAUGGAGUAGGAGCCCCUUGUCCCCCUUUCUGCUACCCCUCAGCUCCGUGACCCCUCACCCCAGAGACUCACAUGAAGGACGCCAGGUGGAGCUAACCAGUCCAGGUUCGUGAGGUGAGCAUUGGGGCACACUCCUGGCAUUGAGGGGACAUUGAGAGACCUUCAUGGACAGUUGGCCCAGCUUCCCUGCUGUUUUAGUGGGGAAAGGACCAAGAGCCAGUGUCCUUGAGGUGGGGGCAGAGGUAAUGAUCCCCUUCUGCCUCGAUUAUCCUUGAACCCCAAAGAUUUUGUUGAUAGAUGAACAUAUCUGGCUUCAGACAUAAGGUUUUGAUUUUUUGAUCUGCUCUCCUUUUUAAUUUUAAUUUUCUUUUAAUGUGGGAACCUCUUAGUUAAAUCUGGUUGUACCUUCAGCCUCAGCCUUCCACACAUACUUCACAUACACGUGCUAUGAUGAGAUCUCUCUCUCUCUUUUCAAAUCAGUUUCUUGUGGGGGGGGGGCUUAAUGUUUCACACUGAUGUUGUUGACACUCCUUUGGGAGUGGCCAAAACAGCCUCUGAGGCUAGACAUGGUAUAACACGGGAGUAAAGAAGACUGAAAUCUCUUGACACCAGGGGAACCUGAGCUUGGAGGUUUUGCUGUGUGUGUGUGUGGGGGGGGGGUGGUGGUGGUGAAGGGUGGGAAUAUCAAAAGUAAAAUGUAAAUAGUCUUAUUGUGAAGGGCUGGACAGGCAAGUUCUUGUUUGGGAUGAUUCUGGAUGACCUAGGUGGUUCAGGAUUCCUGCCUUUUGGGACAAGGGGGAGCCAACUCCUCAGGCCACACCUGGGAGGUUUUCUGAGCGGAGAUCUGACCAGUGGAGGCAGUUAUUAUUGUAAAAUGAGACUGGCAUUCGUGGCUAGAAAAUGUGUACAGAGCACGUGCAAAGAGAAGUCCCUUUUUCUUUUUUUGUUCUUUUUUAAGAAGCACAGACUUUUCCCUUCUUGUGAAAAUAAGACUGCUGUUGCUGAUGUUUUUGGCCUCUACUGCUGGGACCAGGGUUAUCUGUGACCUUGUCACCCUUCCUUAAUUUGGGGAUUUCAGAUGUCAGAAUCCCGUUUUUGUGUGUUGAAAGGAAAUACCUAUAUUCAAACUGGCUUUUUAGACUUACAUUUUAAAGUAUGACAAAAACACUGAUGGGGUACGGUCUCCCUGCCAUUUAGCCACUGAACAUCGAGCAGCCCUUCGGGGUGUCUACCUCACACCAUCCAAUCUGCCCUGCCUAGAGCAGGUACUGAAUGCACAGGAGCUGGUCCACAGGUCCAUGUGUGUCUUGAGCAUGUCGUUGUCCCUGGAUGUCACCUGUUGGUCCUUCCACCCUGUUAGAAGAACCUGUGAAUGGGGAUUCUGAUGCCCUGUGUGAUGGUGUCCCAGGUCCCAGGCUCUUCCUCCUUUCCUGCGCCCAAGCCCCUCCCCAAAGGUCCACUGGGUUUUCAGUGGCUUCUCCCAUGGAGCCCAGAGCCUGUCUCCUCCAGGGUGAGGCUGCUGGCAGCUCCUCCAAGCUGUUCUUGGAAUGGAAUCCCCGGCGUUCCUGGUCAGGCGUGUGGCAUUGGAAUCCUACCUGCUUUGUCUCUGGCAUCAACUGUUGAGCUGGUCACGUGGUGUAUGCGUGAGAUCAGAGCCUAAGGACUAGAGGGACCCCCACCCAGACUUUUUGCUUCUUGACACCCCACUCACACCCCAUCCCUUUUGUGGGAAUUGUUGUCCCUGAGCUGGCCUAAAGCAAUAUUAUUAAAAUAAAACAUACUCAGGCCCGGGAGCACUGGUAGCCAGAGGACUGAGCUGUCUCCACCCCCCACAUCCAGUUGUUAGGGACAGAAAAGAGACUAAAUCCAGAGGUGGUGUGGAGGCUUGGCCCAGGCCUUGGUCACUCCCUUCCUUGGGCGCAGAGCCCCCUGGGUCAUUGCCUCAAUUCCUGGCUACAUAAAGGGUUCAAAGUGAGACUUGGGGAAAUAACUUAGCCACACGGGAAUGGCUGGUGCUGACAAGGGCCACGGUUUCUGAAAACUCUGAAGGAAGGUGCCCACAUGAAGAACUCAGUGCCAUAGACACAGGUCAGAGGACCUGGAACAGUCUUAGGGACCCCCUAAUUCCCCGUGGCCCACACUGGCUUUGGUGGAAACCACAGCAUUUGUGAGGGUCUGAGAAGGCUGGGUGGGCCCUAGGUGAUCUUUAGCCCCGUCUCUUAGUGUGCCCAUCACUUGUCUCUCUCCUGAGCACCCAUGGGAGCUGUGUGCCAUUCUCAGUACCGUUCUGUUGUCCUAGAAGCCCAGAGUGCUAGGAUCCACCAUCCCAGUUUGAUAUGCUAGGAGAGGUGGUGUGCCUGGCUCAGCUUAGGUGACCAGGGAUACACACAAAGGCAGGAUUUGAACCCCAGACCCUGCUCUCUGCCCCAGCAGAUGCCCAGGGCAUCCGUUGAAAUAGGCUUCCUGUAGUGGGCCCCAGGAGCCCCUGGGGUGGGUGCUGUGGCCUGGGCAGGGCCCGGCAUGGUAACAAUACAGUCUCUGUACGGGAAGCUUCGGCUGUGCCCCCGUCCAUGGGAGGACACCCAGGGGACCUGGCUGUGGCCAGGUCUGCUCCCUCCCACGGACUCCUCAGGCUACCACAAGUGGCCAGAUGUAUCUGCCUCCUCCUAUUUUUCCUUUUGGGUCAGCCCCCUCCUUCUGGGUGGUGGGGUUAGGGGGUCCAGCCCCCUGCCUCUGCCACGUCUGCCAUCCACCCGGCCCCCAGGAGCAUCUUUCAAAAAUUCCCUGUGGGCGGGGCCGAGCACAGGGCCGCCUCUGGCCCCCCCUCCCUGGCCGCCAGUGCCAGACGAGAGCAGGAGACAAAAGUAGCAUUUUUCUCGUUCUCCCGGCUGGCAGCAGGGCCUCCCCCGGCACCAUCGGGCUCCUGGCAGCCCUGCCUCCGGGGACGGGGUGGCCCGGGCCAGACCAUGCCAGCUAGGGAUGAAAGGGGACCUGUGGACAUAGUGACCAGAGGCCUGGGGGGGCCUGUAGGUUGGAAGCUGGCACCUGGGGUCAGCCUGCUGGUCAGCGGGACCUGUCCUCCUCCGUCUGCCAUUGUGACCAUUGGUGCCAGGGGACACCACUUGGGCUCCAUGGCUUUAGAGAAAACAGCUCGUGCUGCGGUGCCUGGGAAUGUGACUUCCCCAUGGGAGCCCCAAAUGAACUGGGGGCCCAGUUCAUCCAUGGACUGUGGAGGACGUGCCAACAGCCUACAGCCCAGGCUGCCUCACUUCUUCCUCCCACAUGAGUGCCUGAUGCUGUCCAAGCCUCAGUGACCAGGUGACCCUCAGGUUCUCUUUGCCUCCCUGCCAUCAACCAGACUUGGCUUGAAGGAGCUGAGGGCUGCAGCUGUGUGUGCAUGGAAGAGAGACACAGCUCAGACCCGCUGUGCAGGUGCACCCUGUGUGGGUCUGGGGGUCUGGUGUCCCUGCGGGAGCCUCCAGGACAAACUGCAGUCCAGUGGGAUCCUAAGACCCCCCCCAACCCCCACCAAAGACCUCUGGUGGUCUGGGACAACUAGGAAGGACAGAUGAGGGAAACUGAGUCACAUCUUUUAUCCUGACUGGGUCCUUGGGCUGGUUGUGUGGCUCUCUGGCCAGAGCUGGGCUGGGCCCCAGAAGCGGCCCUUCAGGCUCUGGCGGGUGGAGGAGCCCAGCUCUAGGGAGGACAGGCAUGUCAGCACAUGGGAUAGGACUCUCAGGGUCUGUGUCCCGGCUCUCUUGUGACACUAGCUCCAAUGUCAACUAGGGCUGAUGGGGUUUCUUCCCCUCUGCCCCCCCCCUAAGCUUCUGGGGCAGCACACAGACAUGGGGUCUCAGAGCUAAAUCGGGAGCCCAGAGUUGGGGGAAGGGGGCAAAGGGCGUUCACUUCUCCAGUUACCCUAAGAAACCGGGGCUCCCCAUGGGUUGGGAGACCCUCUGCAUUGGAUGCCAUCAGCAUAGCCACCGCUCCCCCACAUCAAGAGAGCAGCAGGAGUCCUGGCACAGGUGCCUCCUGGGGUGGGGGGGGGGCACCCCAGGGCCAUUUUGACAAGUGACUUGGUCAGAACCCUUCUGCAGGUUCUGGCCACUCCUGUGCAGGUGGGAGGCACCCAGCCUCCUGUAACAGAGUCCUCAGAAGCCGCAGGGGCUUUCUCUCCCUCCUCCUCUGCUCUCAGGCAGGUCUCUGCCCAGUUCCUCUCCAUGGUGGGGCCAGCUGGGUAAUGGGCCCCAGGUGCCCAGGCCUCUUCCCACUCCCCUGCCCCACCAGCCACCCUGGGGUCCUGUUCUCCCCACUCCCCUCCUUCUCUUCCAGGAGGUGCCUCCAGAAACCAAGAAGCCUGUCAGUCCAUCUUUCCAUCUGUCUGCCUGCCUGCUCAUCUGGUGCCAAGAAUCACGGCCCUUUGGGGUGAGGUAGUAGGUUGUAUAGUUUGGGGCCCUGCCCUGCUAUGGGUAACUAUACAAUCUACUGUCUUUCCUGAAGUGGUUGUAAUAUCAACGGUGGAAGCUUCCAGAACCCUGUGGAUCUGCUGGGUCUCAGUCUGUGUGACCUGGAACAUCCCUGGACCUCUCUGGAUUUCGUUUCUUCAUCUGCAAAAUGUGGGUGAGGGGCAAGGUAGGUUGAAGGAGACAUGUGAAAGGUCCAGGGCAGGGAGUUCUGCCAUGUGCGCCCCCUCCCAUGAUGAGCUAGAGACCCCACAGGGUGGUCCAAGCAUACCCCUCCCCGCCCCUGCACUGGGCUCAGGGACACCCUGGUCUGGGGACUCCCUCAGUCGUGCUCCCUGCAGCUGGCUCUGAGCAUGAAGAGGACAAGGCCGCUGGGACGCCCGGGGCCCAGCACGUCCCCAUCUGGCUACCCACACCUUCCAGCCGGGCCUCUGGUCACCCCGCAUCUCUCCUGGGGACAGACAGGAAGGAGGUUGGCCCACCUUAGGCAGGAACUGGAACCGGGCACCUCACGGUCACAGGCUUACCCCGUCCUCCAGCAGCCUGAAAGCAGAUGGCUGGGGAAACUGAGGCACGCCCACACUCCCCCCUGCCCUGUACUUGCCCAGCCUUCAGCUGGCAGCUGCAGAGCCCGGGGCAGGGGCUGGGGUGGCCUCUCCCACACCCUGGGCGCCAGCAGGGUGAGGUAGUAGGUUGUGUGGUUUCAGGGCAGUGAUGUUGCCCCCUUGGAAGAUAACUAUACAACCUACUGCCUUCCCUGAGGUGCCCCCUGGCACGUCCUCGUGGGAGGGGCUGCCCAUGCCCAGCAGGGACCGAGCUGCAGGCCUGGCGGGGAGUGGGGUGGUGGUUCUGGGGGGCUGCACCCGAUGACAAUAAAAGCUGUUCUGAAAGGA